UACGGGGGGGGCAAGCGUUGUUCGGAAUUACUGGGCGUAAAGGGUUCGUAGGCGGCUUGCUAAGUCAGACGUGAAAUCCCUCAGCUUAACUGGGGAACUGCGUCUGAUACUGGCGAGCUUGAGUGCAGGAGAGGAACGCGGAAUUCCAGGUGUAGCGGUGAAAUGCGUAGAUAUCUGGAGGAACACCGGUGGCGAAGGCGGCGUUCUGGACUGCAACUGACACUGAAGAACGAAAGCCAGGGGAGCAAACGGG
rnacentral:rRNA from 1 species